CCUACGGGAGUCAGCAGUGAGGAAUAUUGGUCAAUGGACGAGAGUCUGAACCAGCCAAGUAGCGUGAAGGAUGACUGCCCUAUGGGUUGUAAACUUCUUUUAUAUGGGAAUAAAAUGUUCCACGUGUGGGAUUUUGUAUGUAUCAUAUGAAUAAGGAUCGGCUAACUCCGUGCCAGCAGCCGCGGUAAUACGGAGGAUCCGAGCGUUAUCCGGAUUUAUUGGGUUUAAAGGGAGCGUAGGUGGAUUGUUAAGUCAGUUGUGAAAGUUUGGGGCUCAACCGUAAAAUUGCAGUUGAAACUGGCAGGCUUGAGUACAGUAGAGUUGGGCGGAAUUCGUGGUGUAGCGGUGAAAUGCUUAGAGAUCACAAAGAACUCCGAUUGCGAAGGCAGUUCACUGGACUGCAACUGACACUGAGGCACGAAAGUGUGGGUAUCAAACAGGAUUAGAUACCCUUGUAGUC
rnacentral:rRNA from 1 species